rnacentral:rRNA from 1 species
CCCUACGGGGUGCCUGGGAGAAGUGGUGGCCGGAGCCAGGGCCUUCGUCGACAGCAAGGUGCAUGGAGCGGCUCCCGCCCCCUACCGGGCUCUGGAUCUCAUCGAGGGGGCCUGCAGCUGGGAUGUGGAGCGGGGCUUCGAAGAGGAAAACAAAGCUGCUGCGGACCUCAUCCUUUCGAAGCAGUGCAAGGCGUCCCUGUAUUCCUUCGAUCUGGUGAACCGUUAUGCAAAGCGGCCGAGAGGCUUGCCCGAAGCCCCGUCCCGCCCCAUCCGAAAAGUGGGCAUCAUCGGAGCCGGACUCAUGGCUUCACAGCUGGCUCAUCUGUUCAUCCAUCGCCUGGGCGUUCCCGUGGUGAUGAAAGACGUGAAGCAGGAGCUCCUGGAUAAAGGCUGUGCUUAUGUGGCGGGGGAGC